rnacentral:rRNA from 1 species
CCCGCGUCUGAUUAGCCAGUUGGCAGGGUAACGGCCUACCAAAGCGACGAUCAGUAGCCGGCCUGAGAGGGUGGACGGCCACAUUGGGACUGAGACACGGCCCAAACUCCUACGGAAGGCAGCAG